AUUGAACGCUGGCGGCAGGCCUAACACAUGCAAGUCGAGCGAGCGGCGGACGGGUGAGUAAUUCCUGGGAAUUGCCCAGUCGAGGUGGAUUACAGUUGUAAACGACUGCUAAUACCUCAUACGAUUGGAUUGCCCAGGUGGGAUUAGCUAGUUGGUGAGGUAAUGGCCCACCAAGGCGACGAUACCUAGCUGGUCUGAGAGGAUGAUCAGCAACAGUGGAACUGAGACACGGUACAGAGUCCGACGGGAGGCAGAAGGGGGGAAGAUUGCCCAAUGGGUGAAACGUUGAUACAGGAAAGACGGGUGUGUGAAGAAGGCGUUGGGGUUGAAAAGCACUUUAAGCGAGGAGGCGUGACCCGCAGAGGAAGCACAGGCUAGCUCCGUGCCAGCAGCCGCGGUAAUAC
rnacentral:rRNA from 1 species